rnacentral:lncRNA from 1 species
UUUACAAAGGGCGGCCUUCAUGUGAUUUGUUAUUUGUGUGUGUGAUUUACAGAGGGCGAUCUUCGUGCGUGUGUAAUUUGUGUUUCAGUCGGAAUUAGGAGAAGACAGUGACGUUGUGGCAAGUGUUGAAGGCUGCGAAGAUGGCGGCUUAGAAUGGACGACGACUUCUGCAUCGAGUUCUGAAAGACAGGGCGGAAUGAAAGA